GACGAACGCUGGCGGCGUGCCUAAUACAUGCAAGUUGAGCGAUGAAGAUUGGUGCUUGCACCAAUUUGAAGAGCAGCGAACGGGUGAGUAACGCGUGGGGAAUCUGCCUUUGAGCGGGGGACAACAUUUGGAAACGAAUGCUAAUACCGCAUAACAACUUUAAACAUAAGUUUUAAGUUUGAAAGAUGCAAUUGCAUCACUCAAAGAUGAUCCCGCGUUGUAUUAGCUAGUUGGUGAGGUAAAGGCUCACCAAGGCGAUGAUACAUAGCCGACCUGAGAGGGUGAUCGGCCACAUUGGGACUGAGACACGGCCCAAACUCCUACGGGAGGCAGCAGUAGGGAAACUUCGGCAAUAGACGAAAGGCUGACCGAGCAACGCCGCGGGAGUGAAGAAGGGUUUCGGGUCGUAAAACUCUGUUGGUAGAGAAGAACGUUGGUGAGAGUGGAAAGCUCAUCAAGUGACGGUAACUACCCAGAAAGGGACGGCUAACUACGUG
rnacentral:rRNA from 1 species